rnacentral:rRNA from 1 species
GACGAACGCUGGCGGCGUGCCUAAUACAUGCAAGUCGAGCGGACGGAUGGGAGCUUGCUCCCAGACCGUCAGCGGCGGACGGGUGAGUAACACGUGGGCAACCUGCCUGUAAGACUGGGAUAACUCCGGGAAACCGGGGCUAAUACCGGAUAACUCUUUCCCUCACAUGAGGGAAAGCUGAAAGAUGGCAUCUCGCUAUCACUUACAGAUGGUCCCGCGGCGCAUUAGCUAGUUGGUGAGGUAACGGCUCACCAAGGCGACGAUGCGUAGCCGACCUGAGAGGGUGAUCGGCCACACUGGGACUGAGACACGGACCAGACGCCUACGGGAGGCAGCAGUAGGGAAUCUUCCGCAAUGGACGAAAGUCUGACGGAGCAACGCCGCGUGAGUGAUGAAGGUUUUCGGAUCGUAAAACUCUGUUGUCAGGGAAGAACAAGUACCGGAGUAACUGCCGGUACAUUGACGGUACCUGAACAGAAAGCCACGGCUAACUACGUG